rnacentral:rRNA from 1 species
UCCGGUUGAUCCUGCCGGAGGUUACUGCUAUCGAGGUUCGACUAAGCCAUGCGAGUCGAAUGUAGCAAUACAUGGCGUACUGCUCAGUAACACGUGGACAACCUACCCUCCGGACGGGUAUAAACCCGGGAAACUGGGUAUAAUCCCCGAUAGAUCUCGGUCGCUGGAAUGCCCCGAGAUCGAAAGCUCCGGCGCCAGAGGAUGGGUCUGCGGCCUAUCAGGUAGUAGUGGGUGUAGCGUACCUACUAGCCUACGACGGGUACGGGUUGUGAGAGCAAGAGCCCGGAGAUGGAUUCUGAGACACGAAUCCAGGCCCUACGGGGUGCAGCAGGCGCGAAAACUUUACAAUGCCGGCAACGGCGAUAAGGGGACCUCGAGUGCCAGGUUACAAAUCUGGCUGUCGUGAUGCCUAAAAAGCAUUGCAUAGCAAGGGCCGGGCAAGACCGGUGCCAGCCGCCGCGGUAACACCGGCGGCUCGAGUGGUAACCGUUAUUAUUGGGUCUAAAGGGUCUGUAGCCGGCCGGAUAAGUCUCUUGAGAAAUCCAGCAGCUCAACUGUUGGGCUUUCAGGAGAUACUGUUCGGCUCGAGGCCGGGAGAGGUGAGAGGUACUUCAGGGGUAGGGGUGAAAUCUUGUAAUCCUUGAAGGACCACCAGUGGCGAAGGCGUCUCACCAGAACGGACCUGACGGCAAGGGACGAAAGCUAGGGGCACGAACCGGAUUAGAUACCCGGGUAGUCCUAGCCGUAAGCGAUACUCGCUAGGUGUCGGCCACGGUGCGACCGUUGUCGGUGCCGUAGGGAAGCCGUGAAGCGAGCCACCUGGGAAGUACGGCCGCAAGGCUGAAACUUAAAGGAAUUGGCGGGGGAGCACCACAACGGGUGGAGCUUGCGGUUUAAUUGGAUUCAACGCCGGG